rnacentral:rRNA from 1 species
ACGAAGGGGGCUAGCGUUGUUCGGAAUUACUGGGCGUAAAGCGCACGUAGGCGGAUUGGUCAGUUAGGGGUGGAAUCCCGGGGCUCAACCCCGGAACUGCCUUUAAUACUGCCAAUCUAGAGUCCGAGAGAGGUGAGUGGAAUUCCGAGUGUAGAGGUGAAAUUCGUAGAUACUCGGAGGAACACCAGUGGCGAAGGCGGCUCACUGGCUCGGUACCGACGCUGAGGUGCGAAAGCGUGGGGAGCAAACAGGA